UACGUGCCAGCAGCCGCGGUAAAACGUAGGAGGCGAGCGUUAUCCGGAAUUACUGGGCGUAAAGCGCACGUAGGCGGCGCUGCAAGUGGUGCGUGAAAGCUCCCGGCUCAACUGGGAGAGGCCGUACCAAACUGCGGUGCUAGAGACAGAUAGAGGUCGACAGAAUUCCGGGUGGAGUGGUGAAAUGCGUAGAGAUCCGGAGGAAUACCAGAGGCGAAGGCGGUCGGCUGGGUCUGUUCUGACGCUGAGGUGCGAAAGUGUGGGGAGCGAACGGGAUUAGAAACCCCGGUAGUCCACACCGUAAACGAUGCAUACUAGUUGUUAGGUGCCUACGGGCGCUGAGUGACGAAGCCAACGCGUUAAGUAUGCCGCCUGGGGAGUACGGUCGCAAGGCUAAAACUCAAAGGAAUUGACGGGGGCCCGCACAAGCAGCGGAGCGUGUGGUUUAAUUCGAGGCUACGCGAAGAACCUUACCUGGGCUUGACAUGAUAGUAGUACCCUGGUGGAAACAUCGGGGGACCUUCGGGAGCUAUCACAGGUGCUGCAUGGCUGUCGUCAGCUCGUGCCGUGAGGUGUUCGGUUAAGUCCGAAAACGAGCGCAACCCCUGGCGUUAGUUACAAGUGUCUAACGCGACUGCCCGGGGAAACUGGGAGGAAGGUGGGGAUGACGUCAAGUCAGCAUGGCCUUUAUGUCCAGGGCGACACACACGCUACAAUGGCCGGUACAAUAGGCAGCCAAGCCGCGAGGUGGAGCGAAUCCAACAAAACCGGUCUCAGUUCAGAUUGUAGGCUGCAACUCGCCUGCAUGAAGUCGGAGUUGCUA
rnacentral:rRNA from 1 species